CCACGCCACGUGUCUGCUGGAGAGAGCACUGGACUCCAGCCAUAGGGGGUGCCUGUCAUCUCUCUCCGUGUUCUCAGAAUAAAGACCGCUUUUUGUUUUAUACUUCUCAUCUUUUGGAAAUAUUUUUCAUCUUUUGGAAAUAAUCCUAUCAUUUGGUGCCGUGACUUGGAUCAGCAAGCAAUCCUGAGACACACCCAGUCGAGUCCCCAGCCAAUAACAUCCUGGAUUAAUUCUGCGCUUUCUCCUCUCCCGAGACGUCCUUGUCACCAGCGGCCUGCACUCACCAUUGGCCAGAUUAAUUUCAGUCUGCUCCUGAUAUUCGUGCAAAAUUACAAAAGGUUGAACAUGGCCCUCAAACUCCACAAGGGGAUCUACUUAAAUUAGCCUUCCGUGUCUUCAACA
rnacentral:lncRNA from 1 species